UUCAUCUAACCAUGAGGUCGCGCUAUCAC
rnacentral:sRNA from 1 species